ACAUACUCCAUGAAGUGUUGGGAGAUGAAACCCACAUGUCACAAGUCUAUGUCUUUAAUCCAUGUUUUGUUGUGCAAGGCCUCGCUAAUUGUCUUUUUUUUGUUUUUUGAAAUGCGGAAGAUGUUUGGCGCUAUAUCUUGGGGCCUUUAACCUUGGAGCCACGCGAUACUCUAGAAGGAUGCUCUCGAGCCAUCGCCAACUAUGAUUGAUGUUGCUGCAACAAAUAGAAGCCUAUCAGUUGCAUCACAUGACAUGUCAAGGUUGUUCGUCACCCUUCCUUCUUCCUCCCAUUCUUUCCACAACCAUCUAAGGUGUAGUGCUCUUGCAAAUUUUCCAAGAGGAAGUAUCCCUAGGUCUCCAAAUUCAGUUGGUAUUGUGGAAUGUGGCCAAUUUACUUUAUAUUUCCCCCUAGUUUUUCUCGGAUCCACCUAGAGGAAGCUCUUCCUGAGGUUAUCAAUUUUCUUCAGCGUGGCUUUGGAAGCUCUUAGAGAUGUGAGGUAGUACACAGUUUGUGAGGUG
rnacentral:lncRNA from 1 species